GACGAACCGUGCGAACGUUGUUCGGAAUCACUGGGCUUAAAGGGCGCGUAGGCGGGCUGCCAAGUCUGGGGUGAAAUCCUCCGGCUCAACCGGAGAACUGCCUUAGAUACUGGCGAUCUCGAGGAGGGUAGGGGCAUGCGGAACUAUGGGUGGAGCGGUGAAAUGCGUUGAUAUCCAUAGGAACUCCGGUGGCGAAGGCGGCGUGCUGGACCCUUUCUGACGCUGAGGCGCGAAAGCCAGGGGAGCAAACGGG
rnacentral:rRNA from 1 species